rnacentral:rRNA from 1 species
GACAGAGGUCCCGAGCGUUAGGCGGAAUCACUGGGCUUAAAGCGUGUGUAGGCGGACUUCUAAGUACCUUGUGAAAUCCCACGGCUUAACCGUGGAACGGCUGGGUAUACUGGUUGUCUUGGGCCAUCUAGGGGCUACUGGAACAAACGGUGGAGCGGUGAAAUGCGUAGAUAUCGUUUGGAACGCCAAUGGUGAAAACAAGUAGCUGGGGAUGUGCCGACGCUGAGACACGAAAGCCAGGGGAGCGAACGGG